GUGUCAGCAGCCGCGGUAACACGGAGGGUGCAAGCGUUGUUCGGAAUUACUGGGCGUAAAGCGCGUGCAGGUGGUCUUUUAAGUUUCGUGUGAAAUCCCACGGCUUAACCGUGGAACGGCACGGAAAACUGGAAGACUUGAAUACGGGAGAAGAGGGCGGAAUUCCCAGUGUAGAGGUGAAAUUCGUAGAUAUUGGGAGGAACACCGGUGGCGAAAGCGGCUCUCUAGACCGAUAUUGACGCUCAUACGCGAGAGCGUGGGUAGCAAACAGGAUUAGAAACCCCCGUAGUCC
rnacentral:rRNA from 1 species